AAUUAAAGCAAUAAGGGCACACGGGGGAUGCCUUGGCACAAAAUGGCGAUGAAGGACGUGGCCAGCUGCGAUAAGCUACGGUGAGCUGUAAGCGAGCUUUGACCCGUAGAUUUCCGAAUGGGGCAACCCGGUAUACCGUGGUAUACCAUCCCGCAAGGGAGGCGAACGUGGUGAACUGAAACAUCUUAGUAACCACAGGAAAAGAAAGUAAUAACGAUUCCCUAAGUAGUGGUGAGCGAACGGGGAAGAGCCUAAACCGGGCUUUUGUCCGGGGUCGUGGGACUGUAACAUGCCUUGAUAAAAGUAUAGACGAACCUGGCUGGAAAGCUAGUCCGUAGAGGGUGAUAGGCCCGUAGUCGAAAUAUUUUUAUCGGGUAACAGGAUCCCGAGUAGGUCGGGACACGAGAAAUCCUGAUUGAAUCUGGGAGGACCAUCUCCUAAGGCUAAAUACAUUUUGUGACCGAUAGUGAACAAGUACCGUGAGGGAAAGGUGAAAAGCACCUCGAAGGAGGAGUGAAAUAGUACCUGAAACCGUGUGUCUGCAAGCAGUUAGAGCUAGCCUUUGUGUUAGCGAUAGCGUGCCUUUUGCAUAAUGAGCCGGCGAGUUAAUUUAUACUGCGAGGUUAAGUAGCAAGAGCUAUGGAGCCGAAGCGAAAGCGAGUGUUAAUAGCGCGCAAAGUCGUAUGAAUUAGACCCGAAACCAGAUGAUCUAUCCAUGUCCAGGUUGAAGUUUGGGUAACACCAAAUGGAGGACCGCACCGACCGACGUUUCAAAGUCGGCGGA
rnacentral:rRNA from 1 species